CAUUAGAUGACUGAAAUUCGCAAGUAAUGGUCUCUUAAACCAGUUUAUAGUAACUUAGCACUUACUUCUAAUGA
rnacentral:tRNA from 1 species